rnacentral:rRNA from 1 species
CGGCAACAGCUCAAAUUUGAAAUCUGGCUCUUUCAGGGUCCGAGUUGUAAUUUGUAGAAGAUGCUUCGGGUGUGGCUCCGGUCUAAGUUCCUUGGAACAGGACGUCAUAGAGGGUGAGAGCCCCGU